rnacentral:rRNA from 1 species
UUGAACGCUGGCGGCAUGCCUUACACAUGCAAGUCGAACGGCAGCACGGGGCAACCUGGUGGCGAGUGGCGAACGGGUGAGUAAUAUAUCGGAACGUACCCUGGAGUGGGGGAUAACGUAGCGAAAGUUACGCUAAUACCGCAUACGAUCUAAGGAUGAAAGUGGGGGAUCGCAAGACCUCAUGCUCCUGGAGCGGCCGAUAUCUGAUUAGCUAGUUGGUAGGGUAAAAGCCUACCAAGGCUUCGAUCAGUAGCUGGUCUGAGAGGACGACCAGCCACACUGGAACUGAGACACGGUCCAGACUCCUACGGGAGGCAGCAGUGGGGAAUUUUGGACAAUGGGCGCAAGCCUGAUCCAGCAAUGCCGCGUGAGUGAAGAAGGCCUUCGGGUUGUAAAGCUCUUUUGUCAGGGAAGAAACGGUGCGGGCUAAUAUCCUGUGCUAAUGACGGUACCUGAAGAAUAAGCACCGGCUAACUACGU